AGUUCUUCAGUCCGACGAUUGAGGAAGAUGAUGUGGGCAGGGGUCACUCGCCCCUUGCCCUACAAGUAGGGCAUGCACAGACUGUUCCCAUUAGG